rnacentral:rRNA from 1 species
UACGUAGGGAGCAAGCGUUGUUCGGAUUUACUGGGCGUAAAGGGCGCGUAGGCGGCGUGUCAAGUCGAUUGUGAAAUCUCCGGGCUUAACUCGGAACGGCCAAUCGAUACUGACGUGCUAGAGUGCAGAAGGGGCAAUCGGAAUUCUUGGUGUAGCGGUGAAAUGCGUAGAUAUCAAGAGGAACACCUGAGGUGAAGACGGGUUGCUGGGCUGACACUGACGCUGAUGCGCGAAAGCCAGGGGAGCAAACGGG